UGAUGACUCUGGAUAACUUUACUGAUCGCAGUCGGCCUCGCGCUGGCGACGGAUCUUUCAAAUGUCUGCUCUAUCAAUUUUCGAUGGUAGGUGACCUGCCUACCAUGGUGAUAACGGGUAACGGGGAAUCAGGGUUCGAUUCCGGAGAGGGAGCCUGAGAAACGGCUACCACUUCCAAGGAAGGCAGCAGGCACGCAAAUUACCCAAUCCCGGCACGGGGAGGUAGUGACGAAAAAUACAGAUACGGGACUCAUUUGAGGCUCCGUAAUUUGAAUGAGUACAAUUUAAAUCCUUUAACGAGGAUCAACUGGAGGGCAAGUCUGGUGCCAGCAGCCGCGGUAAUUCCAGCUCCAGAAGCGUAUAUUAAAGUUGUUGCAGUUAAAAAGCUCGUAGUUGGAUCUGGGUCGUAUUGCUACGCGCCGUCCCUUGCAUCGUUGUCCUGGUUACGACUGGGGCACGUUCGUGAGUCGG
rnacentral:rRNA from 1 species